GCGGCCCGGAUAUCUCUGCGCGGCAGCCCCCGCGGUCGAUCAAUCUCAGUCCCGCACUGCCGUCCCGCCCCGCCCUGUGCCCGCCAAUCCACGACGCCAUAAUCCCCCGCCGUGUCCCUCCCUUCCUCCCCAUUGGUUGUGACCGCACGUCAGCCCGACUCAGCCUGCCAAUCGCAGGACCCAGAGGGCCCUCUCCCCCGCCCGCUCAGUGUAAUUCGAGUUCCCUGUCCAUCGACUCCAAGUCCUCUCUCCUGCGCCGCAUGCUGCCUCGCGCUCCCUUUCCUUCCCCCUCUACCCCCUUCCGCGAUUUACUGUUUCCUCGCGCCCAACAGAAAUGGGCGACCGCAAGUCUUACUCUCGCCGGCGUUACAAAGGUACCGGCCUUUGACCUCUCCUUGAAUUAAUGUGAUCCGAUUCAUCUUCCCUCCAAGUUUUUUUUUUAAUUUAAUUACCCCUCCCUGCCCUGGCCCUGCCAGCUUCAGCUCCACCUCCUUGGAGGAAGCAGGCGCUUUUACAGAGCGCCGCGCGGCAGGUCCCCUUUCAGCCAAUCACAUCUGCGGAACCGCGUUCCGAGUCGUUUGAGGGUGUCUGGUAAAGCAAGCUCGGGGCGGUGUUGGAAAUCUGAAUGUCACCCGCGGUCCGGAGCAGAUAGGAUGGGCUGGGAAGGUACCCGCGAACUGCCGCCGGAAUUCGCUGGCAGCUGUGCGAGGCUCAGAUUAUUUAAAUUUUCCACAAAUUUCUACGGAUUAAUUCAAUGGCAGCUCACUUUCUCCUUUUAUGAUCGGAUGGGUCCGAAAGUGAGGAAAAAGACAAUUGUCUACAAAGAAAGAGGCUGCCAAGUGGAGACAGAAAAGCAGUUAUGAGACUGAUGAUAGAUUCCAAUUUGUUAUCGAAAGGAAGGAGGAGACCUGAACAGUACAUCCGGAGAAUCCAGCAAAGCAUACUACGGCAUGAACGUGCAAGUGGACAGAAUUAAAACACAUGCCAGAAACACUAAUGGAUUCUAAACAAGAUGCAGUUUCAUUUCCUGAGCCUAUACGUGAUGUUUUUAACUGUUCUCCAGUUAAUAUGUCUCCAUUUCCAGAAAUCUAACAGGAGAAUCUCUGACUGCUUAACAGAUCACCUAAGCUUGCGAUUUGUGCAAUCCUUUCUAGAGUAAGGGCUCCCCGGCUGCUCCCCGGCCACUGUGUACCCAAAGCAGCGGCUGAAAUAGCCCGGAGUCCAACAGCUCAGCGUCAAGCAGCUCGUGGUUUGUACUUACAUCAUUUUUUUUUUCAGAGCAAGAGUGAAAGUUUAUUAAAAAGCGUUAGAACAGUAAGGAAAGGAAAGGAGAGAAAAUAAGGAAAGUACAACUUGGAAGAGGGCCAAGCGGGCGACUUGAGAAAUCAAGUGCCUGUACUUACAUCAUUCUUAACCCUUUCGCUCCUGGAGGGGGCUCAGCGGGAUCAGGGGGCCCCUGAACUUCGGAACACGCAGGACCUGGGUGUGAGAGAAGAGUCCCAAAGCUUGGCGUGAGCAAUGCACUCGCGGAGGGAGAGAGCCCGGGGCUUGCGGGGGGCUCAUCACCCGCUCGUAGACAACGGGCCCCCGCAAUCCCUGCGGGCUCCGCCGCUGCUCUCACCGCUCAAAACGGCAGGUGCAAAAAGCAUUUGGGAGCCGCUUGCCAGCGCGCGGAGGUAAUGCGCUUCCUGUCCAUUUAUCUCAGGAAACCAGUGCAGCCUUCCCUUCGAAACAAAAUUAACCUCUCAUUAGCCAGCCACUCGCUCCCAAGAAGGCCUUAAAAGCUUUACCAGCUCGCUAAUGUAUUUAGGCUUUUCUUCCAGGCAAACGCAGCCGCCGGUCUUGACUGCCAUCGCCCAAGGGGUUCCUCUGGGCUCUCCCGCGAGCCAACAGCCGACCUCUCUCCAGCCUAGUCUGGGAAACUCCAGCCAACCCAGGAUCCCAUUUUGUAGUCCCGGGCAGACCCGAAACCCCUGAAAGAACUCCACUCCAGAAGACGCCAGAACAAGUUCCCACGAAUUUCAUGGGCGCCCUUCACAUGAAAACCUCAGCUCCCCUAUCCUCAAGGAACGGGGAAGGGCGCCGGGGAGGGACUUCGGUGGCCAGCUGUCCCUGGGUCGUGGGCGCUGUUUGCUCUGCGGAGCGCCAGCCCUGCACACAGCGGGUGCGGGAAGCGUUGAUGGGAGGCUGGAGGGCGGGGUGAGCGUAAACUAGGAUCUAGCCGGUUCCAGGCGUGGAGAAUCAAAUGUGGUCCUAGAUCUGUAAGUUGCGAAAAGGGGCUUUUGGGAGCGUCAGAGCUUUCUCACUCCGGUCCCCCGCCGCCUUGAGGCUGGCAGAUUUAUACCCCACAGGUGGAUGGAGACCUAAACAAAACAGUCCCGGCCGCUGCCUGCCGCUCGCCCCCCACGUCCCCCGGGCCCACCGCAAACUUCAACAAAAUAAACAACUCACCACAGGCAUUCCCUUGUCUGCAGCGCGACGCUUGCCAGCUGGGAAAAUAAGCCGCAAGCCACGCGGCCGAGGC
rnacentral:lncRNA from 10 species